ACUUGAUAUAUAAUUAAAGGGCCGCGGUACUCUGACCGUGCAAAGGUAGCAUAAUGAUUAGUCUUUUAAUUGGAGACUGGAAUGAACGGUCGGAUGAGGGACUUCCUGUCUUUUUUGAGUUAUUAGAAUUUAACUUUUUAGUGAAAAGGCUGAAAUAAAUUGAUGGGACGAUAAGACCCUAUAAAACUUAAUAUAUAUCGUUUUGAUUUUAAGAUGUCUGUUUAAUUUAGAUUUUGGUGGUGUAUAUUCCGUUGGGGAGAUGUUGAUAUAAUUGUGUAACUGUCUUAUUGAAUUUAAUAACUUUGUUUAGUAUUAUGAUCCUUUAAUAAGGAUUGAUAGGUUAAGUUACUUUAGGGAUAACAGCGUAAUUUUCUUUGAGAGUUCUUAUCGUCAAGAUUAGUUGCGACCUCGAUGUUGAAUUAAAAUUUCCUAUUGGUGUAGCCGCUCUUUAGGUGGGUCUGUUCGACCUUUAAAAUUUUACAUGAUUUGAGUUCAGACCGG
rnacentral:rRNA from 1 species